AUUUACUCCAGAAACUCACGUGCCAGAGAUCGCAAUAUCACGUCGGGAUGAUUUCGGGUCUUCGUGGGUCCUGUGUCGGGUCCGAGACGAGAGAUCGAGACAGGGUUUAUCCGUUCUGGUGAUUAACCAUGGGGUGGAUUUGGAGGCGGUGAAGAAAAUGUCAGAGGCGGCGUAUGAGUUCUUCAAGUUGCUGGUGGAGGAGAAGAUGAAAUUGAAGUUCUGAAAGGAGAGCAGGCAGAUCCGCUUUAGGUCUUGGAAAGAGUACAGAGGAAGAGUCAUAGACAAGUCAAGUUUCCUUCCCCGAUCCCAAACCCGCCAGCAGAAGAGGAGAAAAAACUCGAAGAGAAAGAGAAGCCUGAGCCUAAGGAGAAGAAAGAAGAGGUUUUUUUCUUUUUUUCCCCCUUAUUAACAUGUUAGCCCCCUUUAUCUAGAAGAAAGAAGAUGAAAUCAAGAAGAAGAAUCGGCGGAGCUGGGCCUGAGUAGAAUCAACUUGACCUUGUGCUGAUUGUAUAUUCGUUAGUUCAGUUGUUCAAUCUCUGCUUCUUUAGUGGCCUAUGGUUUUCGGAUUAUGGGUUAUGUGUGUGCUGAUCUGAUUUCA